rnacentral:rRNA from 1 species
CCUACGGGAGGCAGCAGUGGGGGAUAUUGCACAAUGGGGGGAACCCUGAUGCAGCGACGCCGCGUGGGUGAAGAAGCGCCUCGGCGCGUAAAGCCCUGUCAGCAGGGAAGAAAAUGACGGUACCUGAAGAAGAAGCCCCGGCUAACUACGUGCCAGCAGCCGCGGUAAUACGUAGGGGGCAAGCGUUAUCCGGGUUUACUGGGUGUAACGGGGGCGCAGACGGCGAUGCAAGCCAGGAGUGAAAGCCCGGGGCCCAGCCCCGGGACUGCUCUUGGAACUGCGUGGCUGGAGUGCAGGAGGGGCAGGCGGAAUGCCUGGUGGAGCGGUGAAAUGCGUAGAUAUCAGGAGGAACACCGGUGGCGAAGGCGGCCUGCUGGACUGCAACUGACGCUGAGGCUCGAAAGUGUGGGGAGCAAACAGGAUUAGAUACCCCGGUAGUC